GCUGUCAGUCUGUUACUAACGUACCGUUCUAGGUUUAUUUUUAUUUUCCCUUCUUCUUCAAACUUCGGAGGGAUGACGUAGUCUCAAAGUAAGGUUAGUGUUAAUGUUAAGAAAACUGGUGAAAGAAAUUCUUAUUUCUUCUUCUCAUAAUAGUACAUACCAACAAAACUAUAGUCAGCAGUACUCAAUAAAAUACCGUAUGUCUGAUAAACUUAAUGAAUAACUUGGCUAAGGACCCAACAGAAAAUUUGAUAACAUUUGUGUAAAAUUACGAUAUAAUUAAAUUAGAUCAUGUGAAUACUUGACUGAAUUAUUUGUAUUUCAAAUGAAUUGACAGAAGAAAUAAAUCAAGAAACAUAGAAAAUGAUUGCCAUUAAAAGUUUGUCGAAUCGCCUGCCUCCUCGUUGUUAGAGUUGUUUUUUUUACGAUUUUUCUCUUUGUGCUUCUCGUCAGCCACACCCAACGGUUUCUGAGAAUCAGCGACAUUGGCUGCUUCAGACAUCAAAGUCUCUUCUUUAGAUUUCUGGCAACAAGUUUGGUCUUCGCCGGUUCUUGAAUAAUUUCCGGGUUCUUCGUAGCAAAAGGAUGUCGGCAGCCAAUCGGCGAGACAUGCAGACACCAUCGAUUUGCAAGCGCCAAAUGUCCCCACCACCGCUUGUUCCAUUUUAUCAAUACGAGCGACAGCUUUUUCUAGGAUUCCAUCCGCUCUCAUUUCUUUUGACUUUGAGUACCGGCUUUUAUUUUUAUUCCGUUUGUUUAUUUUCCGGUUUCCACUGGAUCUCUCCGGUAUCUGUGGAGUUUCAGCAGCGAUUGAUUUCAAGGGCGACGACUCUGCGGUUGCUUCUGGCAUCAACCCAACAGGUUCUGAUAUGGACGAACAAGUAGCGAAACAGACAUGGGAGUCCUCAAAUGUGUUCGGAACGGAAAGAGCUUCAACUAUGCCAUUUAACUCGGUGUGCUGGGUCUCAUCCGUUGAUGGUUUAACUUCACAAAAUCCGGAAAGCGAAGAAGACUCGUCCGCUACUGCCUCGUUCUUUUCUUGCUGGACAGCCGGCUCAUCUUCGUCUAAAGAUUCAUCACUAUCCCACUUUGGCUGACAGAUCGGGUCGACAUGCGGCAAAUCGCUUGGGAAUCCGCGAGUCUCAUCCGCAAUUUGAGGCAUCGGGCAGUUUGAGUCCGGAAUGCAGCUCGGUAACUCCGGAAGGGCGGAUGUCUCUUCAUUGACGAAUUCCGUUUCAACGGAUUUUUCUGGUUUGGCCAAAAGUGGAGCAUCUUUCGACGAACUAUUCAGUUUCUCGUUUUCUUUCUCGAGUGAAUGAAUGAAGGAUUUCAAUUUUUUGUUUUCGUCUUGAAGUUUAGCUACUUUCUGAUAGCAAUCACUGAUCAAAUCAACCAAUUUCUUUUUGCAUUGCUCGAGAAGAAUAAAUAGAGUUCGAUCGGCUUGCUCAGAGACCUUUUGUGCCAGAGUUUCCAAUUCCUCCAAGAGCCUUUUGUUUUGGGAUUCUAACUCGUCGUGGCGUUUCAGCAAUUGUUGAAUUUUUUGCUGGGAAACAGUUAGUUCCGUUUCCAUCGCCGUUAUUGUGGCGUCUCCGGCAGGAAUGAACUCGGAUUCAGCGACGAUUGAUGGUGACACAACGAAAUUCUCAAGAAAGUAGUUUGUAAAUGUA
rnacentral:lncRNA from 1 species